AGCCAAGUCGCGUGAAGGAAGACGGUUCUAUGAAUUGUAAACUUCUUUUGUGCAGGAAUAAAGUGGGUUACGUGUAACCUUUUGUAUGUACUGUACGAAUAAGGAUCGGCUAACUCCGUGCCAGCAGCCGCGGUAAUACGGAAACCAG
rnacentral:rRNA from 1 species